rnacentral:rRNA from 1 species
UACGUAGGGGGCGAGCGUUGUCCGGAUUUAUUGGGCGUAAAGAGCGUGUAGGCGGUUCGGUAAGUCUGUCGUGAAAUCCUGAGGCUCAACCUUGGACGUGCGAUGGAUACUGCCGGGCUAGAGGAUGGUAGAGGCGAGUGGAAUUCCCGGUGUAGCGGCGAAAUGCGUAGAUAUCGGGAGGAACACCAGUGGCGAAGGCGGCUUCCUGGCCUGUUCUUGACGCUGAGGCGCGAAAGCUAGGGGAGCAAACGGG